GAUGAACGCUAGCGACAGGCUUAACACAUGCAAGUCGAGGGGCAGCAGGGGAGUAGCAAUACUCCCGCUGGCGACCGGCGCACGGGUGAGUAACACGUAUGCAACCUGCCCUUGUCAGGGGGAUAAGCGGAAGAAAUUCCGUCUAAUACCGCAUAACGCUGCGGGGAGACAUCUCCCUGCAGCCAAAGAUUUAUCGGACAAGGAUGGGCAUGCGGCGCAUUAGCUUGUUGGCGGGGUAACGGCCCACCAAGACGACGAUGCGUAGGGGUUCUGAGAGGAAGGUCCCCCACACUGGUACUGAGACACGGACCAGACUCCUACGGGAGGCAGCAGUGAGGAAUAUUGGUCAAUGGCCGGGAGGCUGAACCAGCCAAGUCGCGUGAGGGAAGACGGUCCUAUGGAUUGUAAACCUCUUUUGUCAGGGAGCAAAAACUGCCACGCGUGGCAGGAUGAGAGUACCUGAAGAAAAAGCAUCGGCUAACUCCGUGCCAGCAGCCGCGGUAAUACGGAGGAUGCGAGCGUUAUCCGGAUUUAUUGGGUUUAAAGGGUGCGUAGGCGGACAGUUAAGUCAGCGGUAAAAUUGAGAGGCUCAACCUCUUCCCGCCGUUGAAACUGAUUGUCUUGAGUGGGCGAGAAGUAUGCGGAAUGCGUGGUGUAGCGGUGAAAUGCAUAGAUAUCACGCAGAACUCCGAUUGCGAAGGCAGCAUACCGGCGCCCAACUGACGCUGAAGCACGAAAGCGUGGGUAUCGAACAGGAUUAGAUACCCUGGUAGUCCACGCAGUAAACGAUGAAUACUAAUUGUUCGGGUCGAGUGAGAUCUGAGUGAUACAGCGAAAGCGUUAAGUAUUCCACCUGGGGAGUACGCCGGCAACGGUGAAACUCAAAGGAAUUGACGGGGGCCCGCACAAGCGGAGGAACAUGUGGUUUAAUUCGAUGAUACGCGAGGAACCUUACCCGGGCUCAAACGACACAGGAAUGAUCUGAGAAAUCAGGCAGUCCUUCGGGACCUGUGUCGAGGUGCUGCAUGGUUGUCGUCAGCUCGUGCCGUGAGGUGUCGGCUUAAGUGCCAUAACGAGCGCAACCCCCAUCGACAGUUGCCAGCAGGUCAAGCUGGGCACUCUGUCGAGACUGCCGGCGCAAGCUGUGAGGAGGCGGGGAUGACGUCAAAUCAGCACGGCCCUUACGUCCGGGGCGACACACGUGUUACAAUGGCAGGUACAGCGGGAAGCCACCUAGCGACAGGGAGCGGAACCCGAAAGCCUGUCUCAGUUCGGAUUGGAGUCUGCAACUCGACUCCAUGAAGCUGGAUUCGCUAGUAAUCGCGCAUCAGCCACGGCGCGGUGAAUACGUUCCCGGGCCU
rnacentral:rRNA from 1 species